GCCCUAGUAACGGCGAGUGAAGCGGCAACAGCUCAAAUUUGAAAUCUGGCGCAAGCCCGAGUUGUAAUUUGUAGAGGAUGCUUCUGGGUAGCGGCCGGUCUAAGUUCCUUGGAACAGGACGUCAUAGAGGGUGAGAAUCCCGUAUGUGACUGGCUUGCACCCUCCACGUAGCUCCUUCGACGAGUCGAGUUGUUUGGGAAUGCAGCUCUAAAUGGGAGGUAAAUUUCUUCUAAAGCUAAAUACCGGCCAGAGACCGAUAGCGCACAAGUAGAGUGAUCGAAAGAUGAAAAGCACUUUGGAAAGAGAGUUAAAAAGCACGUGAAAUUGUUGAAAGGGAAGCGCCCGCAACCAGACUUUGCGGCAGUGUUCGGCCGGUCUUCUGACCGGUUUACUCGCUGUCGUGAGGCCAUCAUCGUCUGGGACCGCUGGAUAAGACCUUAGGAAUGUAGCUUCCCUCGGGAAGUGUUAUAGCCUCUGGUGAUGCAGCGCGUCUCGGGCGAGGUCCGCGCUUCGGCAAGGAUGAUGGCGUAAUGGUUGUCGGCGGCCCGUCUUGAAACACGGACCAAGGAGUCUAACAUCUAUGCGAGUGUUCGGGUGUCAAACCCCUACGCGUAAUGAAAGUGAACGGAGGUGGGAACUUUUUGUGCACCAUCGACCGAUCCUGAUGUCCUCGGAUGGAUUUGAGUAAGAGCAUAGCUGUUGGGACCCGAAAGAUGGUGAACUAUGCCUGAAUAGGGUGAAGCCAGAGGAAACUCUGGUGGAGGCUCGCAGCGGUUCUGACGUGCAAAUCGAUCGUCAAAUUUGGGUAUA
rnacentral:rRNA from 1 species